UAGGGAAUCUUCGGCAAUGGACGAAAGUCUGACCGAGCAACGCCGCGUGAGUGAAGAAGGUUUUCGGAUCGUAAAACUCUGUUGUUAGAGAAGAACAAGGACGUUAGUAACUGAACGUCCCCUGACGGUAUCUAACCAGAAAGCCACGGCUAGCUACGUGCCAGCAGCCGCGGUAAUACGUAGGUGGCAAGCGUUGUCCGGAUUUAUUGGGCGUAAAGCGAGCGCAGGCGGUUUCUUAAGUCUGAUGUGAAAGCCCCCGGCUCAACCGGGGAGGGUCAUUGGAAACUGGGAGACUUGAGUGCAGAAGAGGAGAGUGGAAUUCCAUGUGUAGCGGUGAAAUGCGUAGAUAUAUGGAGGAACACCAGUGGCGAAGGCGGCUCUCUGGUCUGUAACUGACGCUGAGGCUCGAAAGCGUGGGGAGCAAACAGG
rnacentral:rRNA from 2 species